rnacentral:RNase_P_RNA from 1 species
GAGGAAAGUCCGGGCUCUCUUUAUAACAGUAUAGUUGUAUAAAAUACAAUGUAGGAAACUAUGAGGAUUGUGCCACAGAAAUAUACCGCCUCAUUUUGUAGGUAAGGGUGCAAAGGUUUGGUAAGAGCAAACCAGGAAUAUUGUUAAAAUAUUAGCUAGGUAAACCCCGUGCUAGAGCAAAGUGAUUGAUUGAAAAUAUGUGAUAAUACAUCUGUAAUAAUUGUCAAUUUUAUUAUCUUUCAUAUAAUCUUUUUAUACUGCAUUAAGUUAUUCAUGACUUAAGAUUAAUAAUUACCCUUUUCAUAUAUUUUAUUUCUGAUAAAAAAUAUGGAUUAAGAACUAAACCCGGCUUAC